rnacentral:lncRNA from 1 species
UGUGUGUGUAUUCUGAUCCUGGAUUUGUCAGAUGGAAGUACAUUUGGGCAGUGUGUGUGUGUGUGUGUGUGUGUGUGUGUGUGUGUAUUCUGAUCCUGGAUUUGUCAGAUGGAAGUACAGCCGGAACUAUAGGUGGGAGCAAAGAAUUAGCCUUUCCGCUGCCUACCUCUUUUUUCCUGAAACUCCACUGGCAGUCAGCUCCUGCUAGCAGCUCCAGGCCCUCUCCUACAGGAAGACUUCCUGGAUUAAUCUGCUAAUCUUCAGCUCAUCCACCUGUUUAAUAGGCAAAACCUACAGAACUAGUCCACACUGAGUGGACCUCUGGGGCUCCCAGCUGCCGAUUGACCUGAACCCCAGAGUGAACUCGUGUUGCUUUGUGGCUUCAGGAAACCUUGGAACAUCUCUGUGCUGUUUUUUCAUUUGUGCUCAAUCAUUCCUGAGGCCUCCUCCUCCUGCUGCAAUUUGACAAGACUUGACCAAAUCAUUAACUCCCAGUUAAUGGGAUAAAAUGAGUUUGAAUCUGGGAUUCUGGUCAUUAACCCCAUGUCACCAUCUGCUCCAGCAGUUUGAUGGCAGGGCUAGGUGAAUUCUAAUCACCCAACACUUGUUAAACUGCUGAUUCCUGCUUCCCCACCUCUGCUGACUCAGCAUCUCUGGGGUGGGGCCUGCAAAGGCUCUCUUCCUUGACGGGGUUAUUGAGGGCAGCUCUAGGAACCCACCCAGGACCAGACCUGAUGAGGAGUUCCUCCUAUGCAUCAGGUAUGCUGGGUCGGUUUGCGGAGUUUCAUAACUUGCAUUUUCCUCUGCCUGGAGAGUUCCUUGCAGCUGGCUUCUUCUGUGUCACGGCCCCACAGAGAUCUUGGCUGGUCUCCCUAUCUCCACCCUCCACCAUGCUCACUAUUCCAUUACAAGUUUCCUUUUCUACCCAGUACUAAUCAUUUUCUGCAAUUCAUCUCAUUUCCUUGUGAACUAUCUGUUGGUCCUACCAGAAUGUAAGUCUCCACCUGGGGGCAGAGACCCUGCCUGGCUUGUUAGAAGCCAUAUCCCCAGGAUUGAAGCAUAUGAGAGAUGCUCAGAAAUACAAGAAUUCAUGAACAA